rnacentral:piRNA from 1 species
UGGUAGACACCGAUUCCUCU